UACAGAGGUCCCAAGCGUUGUUCGGAUUCACUGGGCGUAAAGGGUGCGUAGGCGGUCGGGUAAGUCUGAUGUGAAAUCUCACAGCUUAACUGUGAAACUGCAUUGGAUACUAUCCCGCUCGAGGAAUGGAGGGGAGACUGGAAUACUUGGUGUAGCAGUGAAAUGCGUAGAUAUCAAGUGGAACACCAGUGGCGAAGGCGAGUCUCUGGACAUUUCCUGACGCUGAGGCACGAAAGCCAGGGGAGCAAACGGG
rnacentral:rRNA from 1 species